rnacentral:rRNA from 1 species
AGAACGAACGCUGGCGGCAGGCCUCAAACAUGCAAGUCUAGGGGGGUGUAGCAAUACAUCACCGGCGGACGGGUGCGUAACGCGUGGGAAUAUACCUUUUGGUUCGGAACAACUGAGGGAAACUUCAGCUAAUACCGAAUGUGCCCUAACGGGGAAAGAUUUAUCGCCAAAGGAUUAGCCCGCGUAGGAUUAGCUAGUUGGUGAGGUAAUGGCUCACCAAGGCUCCGAUCCUUAGCUGUUCUGAGAGGAAGAUCAGCCACACUGGGACUGAGACACGGCCCAGACUCCUACGGGAGGCAGCAGUUGGGAAUCUUGGACAAUGGGGGAAACCCUGAUCCAGCCAUGCCGCGUGAGUGAUGAAGGCCUUCGGGUUGUAAACUCUUUCGACGGGGACGAUAAUGACGGUACCCGUAGAAGAAGCUCGGCUAACUUCGCGCCAGCAGCCGC